GCCGCUAAGUAAAAUCUUGUUUUAUUUCGCAAUCAUCCUGAUAUAUUAACUUUUACACGCAUGAUGUUAGUAAACAAGUGACUAGGCAAACUAUUUACAAGUAUUUCACCUCCUUUCUCGCUAGCUAUAAAUUAAUCCAUCUCAAGUACUAACGUCAACACUCUACUCCAAUGCAACUUUUGCACAAGGAUCCCACCUUCGUAACAUUGCACUUGCUAGCAAACUAUCUCCUCUUCCCAGGAGCAACACAUGCCUUGACACAGUGAUUCCAGAAGAUAAGCUAGCUAUCUGUUCCUUGCCUCGGAAGCCUCUCGAGCAAGCCGUACCUCAAUAACUCACAGUCAACUGGUAGUAGCACCUACUCACCAUUACUGACACCCCGACGAUAAGGACACACAUCCAUGGCAAGAAGCUUCCGUGUGGGAACUGUAAGGUUGUCUCCGGCCCACUCGACGUUCAUGUGAACCAGUAGGCUGCACCAACCUCCAUCGCCAUAACUCGACCUUGUUCUAGAAGUCAGUUGCCGAGGCAAGCAGCCUCACUGCUAAUCUUGAGAUGAUUCUUCGUGCAGUCCGGCUAGCCCACGUGCUUCCUUGCUCAAGUAAAACAAGUUGUCUUCUACCUCCCCCAACCAGAACCAAUACACGCACACGCCAUGAUGCUGGUCUGGGAGUUGAGACCAUGUUGUCGAGCUGAGAAGACCUGAAACGACGCAACAAGCAGUGAAAGCAGUAGCCCGGCAAGCCCCUGCACGCUCAGCCGAAUCGAAGACCAGCCACUCACCUCAAUCACCACCGAAGUCGUGCCCAGCUCCGUGCAAGUUGCCGACCAGCCUCGGGAAGACACCGCCACACUGUGCCGGGUCGUCGCGCACAGUCGUCUGCUGAGAUUUUUCUCAGGCGAAUCGCCUUUCCCCGUCUAUAAAGCGAGCCCGACGCCGCACCGUGAUGCCUGGCACCUCCUCAACUCGCUGUCGUGCACCACAACCCGAGCUGAGCCCGUCUUUUUCUCCCUAGCCGAAGAACCAGCUACCUUCGAUCUCCCCAACGAAGACUGUGACCGUCGAUUCGAGUGGCAGGUGAGCACCUCCUCAACGCAAAUCGCCUCCCUUCAGACUCGAUUGAGCCCUUCUUCUACCUUUCAAGAGCCAUCCACGAGCUCCAGUCAACCAUGGCCAUGGCGCCGAGCAGCAGCCUCCCUACCAUGGCCAUGGCGCCGAGCAGCAGCCUCCCUGUGCUUCUCCCGAAAUCUUCCACUCCAGAGAGAUGCGCUAUGGUCUGAGGGUCAUUUUCCCCCACUCCCUGCCCUCUCCAUCGCCCUCUCCAGAAACUGAUUUGAGCCUUGAGCUCAGCCAUGGUAGCUGCCAGGGAAAGGUCAUGAGCUCUUUGUGUCUGUGUUCCUAACAGGGACCACCUCCGGUGAUUAAAGAAAUAAAUCCCAAGUUCCCUCACGUCAAGACCCACUACCAAGCCACCCCAUGCCAAAACGUCAGCAGCCCAUGUGACCCAAUCUGGCAUCAGUUACUAAUUAUUUUCGUAAUUAAUUUAUUCACUGAACUUGUAAAAUCAAUAACUUACACAUAGUAACUCCGCUUAACCCGAUUCUUUUUCCCAAAUUCAUCUAAAAUCAAACUCUAUUUAAUACAGCUAUAUUUGUGUAAUGUAUUGAUAUGUGUCUGCUCGUAUGAUUAUUUGUGUACAAUAAAAUAGAAUCGAUUCCAGAGAACCCGGAGGAGCCGAGAGAACAGGAAGACGCCACCGCCGACGCAUACCUGAGCGAAGGCAAGUCUCAUCGACCUCUUACUUUGAUCAUGAUUGCUCCUAAGUGAGGUUAAAUUUAAAACUUGCUAGACACAGGAAUUGCAUGAGACGACACACCGAGAGACUGAGAGAAACCUUUGAUUGAAGCCAUGUUACAUAUUGAUGAUUUGUCAUAUUGCAUAUUAUCUUGAUAAUUGAUGAAACUGGAAUGAGACUGAGACCAGGGCAGUGUGGAAUGCGUUGGUGCAUGCGCUACCGUGGUGGUAGACAUGCGGUCGAGCUCUGUCGUGGUGACAUCUCGGGUUGGAUGGUUUUGGGUGGUUACUGCCCUGGUGAUGAACCGUGAACCAAGUAUUGUGGUGCCAUCUCACCUAACCUUUUUCUAGUGCGACCACACGUGCUUGGAUGGGGAAGCCUUAGCCUAAUCCCACUGGCCAGCCUAGUAGUCGUGCCGAGGUGGAUAAGAUUUGGGGUGACCUGUGUGGUCAUGACCCGAGGGUUUGUGGGCGGCUAGGCGAGGUUGUGCCACGACUGGGUGUCGGCUAAUGUCGAAUGAUCCGUUCCCGAACGGUGACGUGCGUGUGGGUAAAGCGUACACCUCUGCAGAGUUUAUAUAAUUCCAUUCGAAUGGUAUAGACGGGUUACGGUGUGGACACCACCAGUGAAUGAGCCACCUGGUUACAUGAGACAACUGAUGAUGAUGAUAAGGACAUUGGUUUACCUUCAGUAAUGCAUUUGUUAACUGCAUUGUUGUCGUUUGAUCAUUGCAUGAUAAACUGUAACUCCCUCCCUGUAAGGGCGAGGUGGGACUUGCUGAGUACUUUUGUACUCACCCCUUGUUGACUUGAUGCAGAGGAUCCAGAUUUCGUGCCCGAGGACUGCGAGUAGUGUUCGUGCCCUACACCUGAGCUAGAAGUGGUAUCGUUGCCCUAGAAGCCACCAUGGCCGACGAGGAGAUUACCCUAGCUUUUAUAUGUUGUACUAUCACGUUUCUGGUCUAUAUUGUAAUAUUAAUCGAACGUUCUUAGUAAAGCUAUGUAUGACCAUGGUACCACUGUUGUAAUGUAUUUUCGCCAGAGACUGUUUUCCUGGUGCUUAAUACAUGUUUAGCUCGGUCGGUUAGACCUGGGCGCUUCAAGUGGUAUCAGAGGCAUGCUUGGCUGUAGGACACGAACCGGUAGCCAAAGUUGACCGUAGGAGCCCUAGGAUGGUCUAUCCUUGAUAACCCAUUACUCCUUGAUAAACUGUAUCCUUGUUAUGCUAACUUUAUCCUUAUUAGUCAGAUGGCGGAUGACUGGACAACCACCUACUGCAUCAAUGAAGAUGGAUUCCCCAAGGUGCUUUAUGCUGCCACCUUGCGACUGGGUAUUCCGGAAUGCCCAGAGUAUGUCGGUCGCGAGUUCAUGGAGCAUGGCACCGAGAGCUGUGAAGUCACCGUGCAUAUUGACGCCAGUGACAAGUUCUUGGAGAUGCAACCCUGGAGUGUCACUGCCACUGGAGCCCGUAUGUCUGACACCAUCCAGCUUGCAGCUCGCAAAGCGUUGCGGUACCUUUGCCAUAUGUUUGAAUGGCACCUGGGUUCCACUCCCAUGAAGUACUUUCCUCCGCUGGAUCGUAACCGUCCUGCUUGGGCGGCAAGGAUCCGCAACCUGGAUAACAACGCAGGAACUGAGAAGGACCCCACAAUUGUCGCUAUGUCUGGCUAUUUGCUUAGCCUUGACGAUUUGUGCGACCAACUGCAUCAGCGUGUGAGAGACCUCAUCCAGCGCGCCGAGAAAGCGGAGUCCCAUUGGCGUAGGGCUAAGCUGGCCUUAGCUCAGGCAGAAGCCCGAGCAGCGGAAGCUGAAAGCCGCUUUGCUGCAGCUGAAGAGAACCUUAGGGAGCAGGCAGACCGCCAUAGUCAGCUCCUUAGGGGUGUCUACCUUGUGGACCGUGCCAAGCGCAAGGAACACCAUCCCAGGAUUGGUACUGAGCCGCAUAUCCUAGAGGGAAUUCCAUUGUACUCCUUGUCCCAACCACGCAGGAGAAUUGGCGAAUCGGUACCACCCACACCUUCCGUGUCACCCCAUGAGGCUAAAGACAAAGACCCCGAAGACCGUGCCGUAGGAACCAGUAGUCAAGUCGUUUCGGCCGACUCUUAAAAGUCGAGCCACGUUAUUGUAAUCCGUUGUACCAUGUAUCCCUGUUCGUUCGAAUAAAUGCUUGUAUGGUGCUUGAAUGAAUUGCUUGUGUGCAUUGUGUGGUAUUAUAUAUUAUAAAAAUAUACCCCAGUAGGCUACUAGGAGAAUCGCCUAAUCUUGUCUUUUUCGCAUAGAGCGAAGAUGUCUCGUCGUUCGAGCCGAGUCCAUGGACUCAAUGCUCUCGAAGAUGGGGAAGAGGUCAACCAGGGAAACCUAGGCGCUCAGAACGCAGCCGUCGAAGCACCAGCAAUUGGACACCUACCGCCACUGCCUCCCCGUGCCCCAGCACCCAUUGAUCUGGCAGCCAUGUUGCAGCAGCAGAACCAACUCCUUCAAGCCCUUGUCACAACCCUCACAGCUCAAGCUCAAGGAAACCUUGGCAACAAUAGACCUGCAGUGCAUCACAAUGGCAAUGGGAGCAAGAUUGCAGAUUUCAACCGCAUGCAGCCACCCAAGUUUGGAGGAUCAGACAAUCCAAUUGAGGCAGAUGAUUGGCUGCGUGAAAUAGAGAUGAAGCUUGAAGUAGUUCAUGCGGAUGACAGAGACAAGGUCUUGCUUGCAGUGCAGCAAUUAAGGGGACCAGCCCUUGCUUGGUGGCACAGCUAUCGAGAGAUCAAUGGGAAUGCCAAUGAGAUGGUAUGGGCUGAAUUUGUCAGGAUCUUUAGAGAGCAGCACAUCCCCAGCAGUGUGAUGAAGCUGAAGAAGGAUGAGUUCAGGAAGCUUCGCCAGGGUGGCAUGACCGUAACUGAGUAUCUGCAUAAGUUCACGGAGUUGUCACGUUAUGCACCUGAGGACAUCAAUGACGACGAUAAGAAGCAAGAAGCUUUUCUUGGGGGUCUUAACCCAGAAAUCAGAACCCUGGUUGAAGUCACCACCCAUAGUGACUUUAAUAACAUGGUUAACAGGGUUAUCACCACUGAGAGGAAUAGGAAGGCAGAACUCAGUGAGCGCAAACGUCGGUUUGAGAUCAAGAAGCCCCAACAGGCAGAAAAGUUUCAGAAGACUCAGUUUCCACCCCACCCAGGACAGAGGAGCCAGGGUGCCUUCUCAUUUAAGGCGCACCCCGGUUCUUUUCAGAAGCCAUCUCAGUCAGCUCCAGUUAUGAAGACCCAGAGUAACUUCCGCACCCAACAGUCUGGUGGAAGUCAGUUGACCAAUGUGAGGACUUGUUUCCACUGCCGUGAAGCCGGACACUACAAGGCCAAUUGUCCUUACCUCAGCCAGCCCGCUCCUUCUGUCUUCUCCAACUCUGUUCAAGGACCAAAGCAGCAGACUGGAGCCAACCGUGCAGCGUCAGCUAAGAGUCAGCAGCAGUCCUUUGGCAAGGCAAAGGUGAAUCAUGUGUAUGCUGAAGAAGCGGAGGAUGCACCAGGAGUGAUUCUCGGUGAGUUCCUGGUCCAAUCAACUCUAGCCUCAGUGCUUUUUGAUUCCGGAGCAUCACAUUCCUUCAUAUCCUCACACUUUGUGGAAAAGCAUGAUAUACCUACUAUAGCCCUUAAGAGGCCAUUAUUGACCCAUUCUCCUGGGGGUCAUAUUCCUUGUCACAUAGGUGUCAUAGAAAUCCCCAUAAACCUGAGUGGGGUAGUAUUCCUCGCUAACCUAGUGGUCCUUGCUUCCAAAGGAAUAGAUGUCAUACUUGGUAUGGAUUGGCUCACCAAGCACCGAGGAACCAUAGCUUGUGCCGAGAAAGCAGUGACAAUCACCAACCACCAAGGGAUAACAGUCACCUGCCUAAUCAAACCUAGCCUUCCCGACUCCAUGGUAAACCACAUCCAAGCCGAAUCUCCUGAAGAUGUGCCAGUAGUCCAAGAGUUUGCAGAUGUGUUCCCAGAUGAAUUACCUGGCAUGCCUCCAGAAAGAGAUGUAGAGUUCACCAUUGACCUAGUUCUUGGAACUAAGCCCAUAGCAAAGAAUGCAUAUCGGUUAGCAGCCCCAGAGCUUGCUGAGUUGAAGAAGCAGCUUGAAGAACUUCAACAAAAGGGAUUCAUCAGACCUGCGGCUUCACCCUGGGGAGCCCCAGUGCUCUUCGUGAAAAAGAAGGAUGGAAGUAUGAGACUUUGUGUGGACUACCGAGACCUGAAUGCAGUCACCAUCAAGAACAAGUACCCUCUACCCCGGAUUGAUGAUCUGUUUGAUCAGCUGAAGGGAGCCAAGUUCUUCUCCAAGAUUGAUCUCAGGUCAGGUUAUCAUCAGCUCAGAGUUUGUCAAGAAGACAUCCCGAAGACAGCUUUUAGAACCUGUUAUGGUCAGUAUGAGUUCACAGUGGUGCCUUUUGGACUAACUAAUGCUCCUGCCUUUUUCAUGACCCUCAUGAAUAAGGUGUUUAUGGAAGAGUUGGAUCAGUUUGUCGUCAUCUUCAUUGACGACAUACUGGUCUACUCUAAGAGCGUCGAGGAGCAUGAACAACACCUCAGAGUUGUGUUGGGGAAGCUUAGGAAGCACCAGUUGUACGCCAAGUUCAGCAAGUGUGAGUUCUGGUUGCAGAAAGUCAGUUUUCUAGGUCAUGUCUUAACAGCUGAAGGUGUUGAAGUGGAUCCCGAAAAGGUCAAAGCCGUGUCAGAGUGGAAGCAACCAACCUCAGCCUUGGAGAUUAGGAGUUUCUUGGGAUUAGCCGGCUAUUACCGAAGAUUCAUCGAGGGAUUCUCUAAGGUAGCCAGGCCUAUGACCGAGUUACUCCGAAAGGACAAGAAGUUUGUGUGGUCAGAAGCUUGUGAAAGAAGUUUUCAAGAGCUGAAGAGAAGACUAACUUCUGCCCCAGUGCUAGUCUUGCCAGAUAAUCAGAAGAGUUUUAUCAUAUACUGUGACGCAUCAAGACAAGGUUUGGGUUGUGUCCUCAUGCAAGAAGGAAGAGUUGUAGCCUAUGCUUCAAGGCAGUUAAGGACACAUGAGCAGAACUACCCCACCCAUGACUUGGAGUUAGCGGCAGUCGUGCAUGCGCUCAAGAUUUGGAGACAUUAUCUGAUCGGGAACAAGUGUGAAAUUUACACGGAUCACAAGAGCCUUAAGUACAUUUUUACUCAGUCAGACCUCAACCUUAGGCAAAGAAGAUGGUUGGAACUGAUCAAGGACUACGAUCUGGAGAUUCACUACCAUCUAGGAAAGGCUAAUGUGGUGGCUGAUGCGCUCAGUCGUAAGGCGUAUUGUCAUCAUUUAGUGACCCAAGCCCCAGAGCUAAGUGAGGAAAUGAGGAAGUUGAACCUAAGGGUUGUACGCCACUCUUGCAACUACAACCUUAAUAUUCGACCCGUCCUGGAUGACCAGAUCAAAGAAGCCCAGAUGGAAGAUAGAAGAUUGGCAGAGCUUAAGAAUCGCAGCAGUGAAGGCAAAGCCCCAGAAUUUAGAGUAGAUAAAGAUGGAGUUAUGUGGUUCAAGAAGAGGUUAUGUGUGCCUAAGCAAGGUCAUUUCCGAAAGACCAUUCUAGAUGAAGCACAUAACUCAAUUUAUUCUAUUCACCCAGGCACCACCAAGAUGUACUUGGAUCUCAAGGAGAAGUAUUGGUGGAUUGGUAUAAAGGGUGAUAUCGCUCGCUUCGUUGCCCAGUGUGAUGUAUGCAAAAGGGUCAAAGCGGAGCACCAGAAGCCCAGUGGAUUACUUCAGCCCUUGCCAAUUCCCGUGUGGAAGUGGGAUGAAGUUAGUAUGGAUUUCAUCACCGGUCUACCAAGAACUAAGAAUGGUCAUGACUCAAUUUGGGUGAUUGUUGACAGACUCACUAAAGUGGCACACUUCAUCCCAGUACAUACCACCUAUGGAGGUGAUAAAUAUGCCAAGUUAUACAUUGAUCGCAUCGUGAAGUUGCAUGGAGUCCCCAAGAGGAUUGUGUUAGAUCGAGGCACCCAAUUCACUUCUAGGUUCUGGGAGAAGUUACAUGAAGCCAUUGGCACCAAGUUGGAUUUCAGUUCAGCCUAUCAUCCUCAGACAGAUGGCCAGACUGAAAGAGUUAAUCAGAUCCUUGAAGACAUGCUAAGAGCCUGUGUUCUUACUUAUGGUAAAGAUUGGGAAGAAAGUUUGCCUUAUGCAGAAUUCUCGUAUAACAACAGCUACCAGUCAAGCCUGAAGAUGUCGCCGUUUGAAGCCCUCUACGGAAGGAAGUGUCGCACACCUCUGAUGUGGUCUGAAGUUGGUGACCGAACUGUUGAAGGCCCAGACUUUAUUAAGAAGGCAGAAGACAAGGUAGCAGAGAUCAGAGAUAAUCUAAAGGUAGCUCAAUCACGCCAAAAAAGUUAUGCUGAUAAGAGAAGGCGUGCCCUCAGCUUUGAAGUUGGAGACUAUGUGUACCUUAAAGUUUCCCCAAUUCGUGGCACACGCAGAUUCCAGGUGCGUGGGAAGUUGGCCCCACGUUACAUUGGACCUUUUCCGAUAAUCAAGAAAGUGGGAGUCGUAGCCUACAAGCUUCAAUUGCCAGCAGACAUGUCAGAUGUGCAUGAUGUGUUCCACGUGUCCCAACUCAGGAAAUGUCUGCGAAUGCCAGAAGAACAAGUGACCCCAGAGAUGAUCGAUCUGCAAGAUGAUCUUAGAUAUCAGGAGGUGCCAGUGAAGAUUUUGGAUACUCAGACUAGAAGGACCCGCAACUCAGAAGUCAGAAUCUGUCGAGUUCAGUGGAGCAGGCAUUCUGAAGCAGAAGCAACGUGGGAGAGAGAAGACGCAUUACGAGCCGAGUUCCCUAAUCUCUUUAGUAAUUAGCCGAAUCUCGAGGACGAGAUUUGACCUAAGUGGGGUAGGUUUGUAACACCCUGAUUUUCGCCGCUAAGUAAAAUCUUGUUUUAUUUCGCAAUCAUCCUGAUAUAUUAACUUUUACACGCAUGAUGUUAGUAAACAAGUGACUAGGCAAACUAUUUACAAGUAUUUCACCUCCUUUCUCGCUAGCUAUAAAUUAAUCCAUCUCAAGUACUAACGUCAACACUCUACUCCAAUGCAACUUUUGCACAAGGAUCCCACCUUCGUAACAUUGCACUUGCUAGCAAACUAUCUCCUCUUCCCAGGAGCAACACACGCCUUGACACAGUGAUUCCAGAAGAUAAGCUAGCUAUCUGUUCCUUGCCUCGGAAGCCUCUCGAGCAAGCCGUACCUCAAUAACUCACAGUCAACUGGUAGUAGCACCUACUCACCAUUACUGACACCCCGACGAUAAGGACACACAUCCAUGGCAAGAAGCUUCCGUGUGGGAACUGUAAGGUUGUCUCCGGCCCACUCGACGUUCAUGUGAACCAGUAGGCUGCACCAACCUCCAUCGCCAUAACUCGACCUUGUUCUAGAAGUCAGUUGCCGAGGCAAGCAGCCUCACUGCUAAUCUUGAGAUGAUUCUUCGUGCAGUCCGGCUAGCCCACAUGCUUCCUUGCUCAAGUAAAACAAGUUGUCUUCUACCUCCCCCGACCAGAACCAAUACACGCACACGCCAUGAUGCUGGUCUGGGAGUUGAGACCAUGUUGUCGAGCUGAGAAGACCUGAAACGACGCAACAAGCAGUGAAAGCAGUAGCCCGGCAAGCCCCUGCGCGCUCAGCCGAAUCGAAGACCAGCCACUCACCUCAAUCACCACCGAAGUCGUGCCCAGCUCCGUGCAAGUUGCCGACCAGCCUCGGGAAGACACCGCCACACUGUGUCGGGUCGUCGCGCACAGUCGUCUGCUGAGAUUUUUCUCAGGCGAACCGCCUUUCCCCGUCUAUAAAGCGAGCCCGACGCCGCACCGUGAUGCCUGGCACCUCCUCAACUCGCUGUCGUGCACCACAACCCGAGCUGAGCCCGUCUUCUUCUCCCUAGCCGAAGAACCAGCUACCUUCGAUCUCCCCAACGAAGACCGUGACCGUCGAUUCGAGUGGCAGGUGAGCACCUCCUCAACGCAAAUCGCCUCCCUUCAGACUCGAUUGAGCCCUUCUUCUACCUUUCAAGAGCCAUCCACGAGCUCCAGUCAACCAUGGCCAUGGCGCCGAGCAGCAGCCUCCCUACCAUGGCCAUGGCGCCGAGCAGCAGCCUCCCUGUGCUUCUCCCGAAAUCUUCCACUCCAGAGAGAUGCGCUAUGGUCUGAGGGUCAUUU
rnacentral:lncRNA from 1 species